rnacentral:rRNA from 1 species
UACGUGGGGGGGCAAGCGUUGUCCGGAUUUAUUGGGCGUAAAGAGCGUGUAGGCGGCCAGGUAGGUCAGCUGUGAAAACUCGAGGCUCAACCUCGAGACGUCGGUUGAAACCACCUGGCUAGAGUCCGGAAGAGGAGAAUGGAAUUCCUGGUGUAGCGGUGAAAUGCGCAGAUAUCAGGAAGAACACCCGUGGCGAAGGCGGUUCUCUGGGACGGUACUGACGCUGGAGACG